rnacentral:lncRNA from 1 species
GCAGCACGCCGAGGCGUGUCGAUGCGUGGCGUGUCGCGGUGCACCUUGGCACGGCGUGACGGGGGAGGCGUGUCGAUGCAUGACGGGCCGUGUUGAUGCGUGGCGUGCCAAGGCGUGUCGCCACGGGCCGGGACGUGUUGAUGCGUGCCGUGGCGUGGCUCGGCGUGUCGGGCCGUGUCGAUGCCUGGCGUGUCGAGGCGUGGCGUGCCGCGGCGUGUCACUGCGUGACGGCGGGUGCCGCGCAGGUGGAGCUGGCCACGGGGCAGUUCCCCUACCAGAACUGCAAGACGGACUUCGAGGUGCUCACCAAGGUGCUGCAGGAGGAGCCCCCCCGGCUGCCCCCCGCCAUGGGCUUCUCCGCCGACUUCCAGGCCUUCGUCAGGGACUGCCUCACCAAGGACCACCGCAAGAGACCAAAGUACAACAAGCUGCUGGAGCACACCUUCAUCAAGCGCUACGAGACGCUGGAGGUGGACGUGGCCUCGUGGUUCAAGGACGUCAUGGCCCGCACAGAGUCGCCCCGCACCAGCGGCGUCCUGGGCCAGCACCACCUCCCCUUCUUCACCAGGUAGCCCCGCGGCCGCGGCCCGUGGGCCUCCGGCACCCGCGGGCCGUGCUCCCGGGGGCCGUGAGCCCGUGGUCUCGUGAUCCUGGGGGCCACGAUCCCAUGGUCUCAUGGUCCCGUGAGCCUGUGGUCCCCGUGCUCCCAUGACCCAUGGUCCUGCAGCCCGUGGCUG